UCCUGGGAUAACACUGACGUUCAUGCUCGAAAGCGUGGGUAGCAAACAGGAUUAGAUACCCUGGUAGUCCACGCCCUAAACGAUGUCAAUUAGCUGUUGGGCAACUUGAUUGUUCAGUAGCGUAGCUAACGCGUGAAAUUGACCGCCUGGGGAGUACGGUCGCAAGAUUAAAACUCAAAGGAAUUGACGGGGACCCGCACAAGCGGUGGAUGAUGUGGAUUAAUUCGAUGCAACGCGAAGAACCUUACCUGGUCUUGACAUGUACGGAAUCCUCCAGAGACGGAGGAGUGCCUUCGGGAACCGUAACACAGGUGCUGCAUGGCUGUCGUCAGCUCGUGUCGUGAGAUGUUGGGUUAAGUCCCGCAACGAGCGCAACCCUUGUCAUUAGUUGCCAUCAUUCAGUUGGGCACUCUAAUGAGACUGCCGGUGACAAGCCGGAGGAAGGUGGGGAUGACGUCAAGUCCUCAUGGCCCUUAUGACCAGGGCUUCACACGUCAUACAAUGGUCGGUACAGAGGGUAGCCAAGCCGCGAGGUGGAGCCAAUCUCACAAAACCGAUCGUAGUCCGGAUUGCACUCUGCAACUCGAGUGCAUGAAGUCGGAAUCGCUAGUAAUCGCAGGUCAGCAUACUGCGGUGAAUACGUUCCCGGGUCUUGUACACACCGCCCGUCACACCAUGGGAGUGGGGGAUACCAGAAGUAGGUAGGAUAACCGCAAGGGGUCCGCUUACCACGGUAUGCUUCAUGACUGGGGUGAAGUCGUAACAAGGUAGCCGUAGGGGAACC
rnacentral:rRNA from 1 species